rnacentral:ncRNA from 2 species
UAAAUAAAUGGGCAAACUUGUUGAAAGGCAAGGACGCAAAGCCAUGGGUCUAAGGAAUUUGUUUCUAUGAUUGCCAGGUUGCUUAA